rnacentral:misc_RNA from 1 species
AGCAGCCGCGGUAAUUCCAGCUCCAAUAGCGUAUAUUAAAGUUGUUGCAGUUAAAAGCUCGUAGUUGAAUUUCGGGAUCAAUUAGUCGGUCGUGCCUCUGGUAUGUACUGGUUUUAUUGGUUCCUCCCUUCUGACGAAACAUGAUGUCAUUAAUUUGGUGUCGUGGAGAAUCAGGACUGUUACCUUGAAAAAUUAGAGUGUUUAUAGCAGGCUAACGCUUGAAUACAUUAGCAUGGAAUAAUGAAAUAGGACGUUCGACCCUAUUUUGUUGGUUUCUAGGAUCGACGUAAUGAUUAAUAGGGAUAGUUGGGGGCAUUAGUAUUCAAUUGUCAGAGGUGAAAUUCUUGGAUUUAUUGAAGACUAACUACUGCGAAAGCAUUUGCCAAGGAUGUUUUCAUUAAUCAAGAACGAAAGUUAGGGGAUCGAAGACGAUCAGAUACCGUCGUAGUCUUAACCAUAAACUAUGCCGACUAGGGAUCGGAUGAUGUUAAUUUUUAAUGACUCAUUCGGCGUCCG